CUGCUACACUGAGGUAGCCAUGUCUUUGCCAGGCAGAAGGCGCAUGUGUUCCUGAACGGCGUCGGUCAACUAUAGGGAUUCACCUGUAGGUAUCCUUACUCAGAGGGGGGUACAGAGAACAAACGUGGACUGUGUUCUUCUAAGGAGAGAACUCUGCGUGAUUUGGUCAGGGGACAUGUGGGUUAGUGAGAACGGCAGAGGGCCUGAGUUCUGCUUGGGGAACCGACUGGACAGAAGGCAGCGGAACCCUCCACUCAGGAAUCUCCACCGGCCCAGAUGUCCCAUCAACGCCGCCAGCUGGCCGCGUGGCUCUGGCUCAGUCCUCCGCCAGGAGAAGGCACCUUGUUAUCUGUCCUUUGUCAGUAAGGCCAUCCUGUGGGACCGGGCAUUCAACCAGUGGACAGACCAUACUGCCCCUGAUGGACGUCCCUCCCUGUGUCCUCGUUUCCUGGCCCACAUGAAGGCCUGUCCUGCAGACCUUAGACCCCGAUGUUUCCUAUCCAGCAAGCCCAGGCCACGACCUCCUCAGCAGGGACAGACUGAAGUAAGACAAUCCUUGAGUGCACCGAAGAUGCAUGCAUAUACAGUGUCCAGGAGCAGACCGCAGUACCCCAACACCACCAGGAGGAGGUGCUCCGCUGUUGUUGUUCCCUGUGUUCCAACACCAGUUUCACCCUGUCCCAGCAGAGCCUCCCCUGAGCUCCGUGUCACUGAAUCUAGGCCACCAAGUAUCAAUCCCCACCCUGAUUCGGCCCCACCUCAGGUCCAUCAUCCGGAGGGGGGGACGGAUACCAAGGAUGAGGCACAAGAGAGGGGGGAAGUCCUCUUGGCUACUUCAGUGGCCUUCUGCCCUCCAGGGCCAGACUUAGACCUCAGUUGUGGGCCUGAAGACACUGGUCCCUUGGCCUCUCCGGUACCUAGUUUCUCAGAGGGUUCGCUCUCAGACUUCACUCGUCCCCCAUCCAGCCAGUUCAGCCGGAGCACUGACCUGAGUAGUGGACGAAGCAGUGUCCUAUCUGAGGAUCUGAGUGGCCUGAACUCUCCACUCUCCCGGCUCUGCUCCCCUUCCAUGUCCCUGUCUGCUCUGGCCUCCUGCACCCCACAGGACUCCCCAACACCCCAACCCCUAAACCCAACCCUUCACCCACCUCUCCACCGCCCUGUCUCGGACCAGCUACAGCGCCGCUCAUCUGACUGGACUACCCCGGAGCCCCAGUCGGGCUAUGUCCUUUCACGUUACCCAGAACCAUCCCUGGACCCCAACCGGGACUGUGCUGCCCCAUCUUUUCCCUCAGAGACCUGGCGGUCCAGUCCUAGCCCGCAAUGCGGAAUAACCCUCAGGCCUGGGUCAGGCCUGGUCUCAGGUUCCGCCUCACCUUCUACGACGACUGAGAGGAAAGAAUGGACGUCAAGCCGCUGGUCUGUCCUUCCCCCGAUCUCUCCAGCAAGAGAUGGCAGUGACACAGUGGCUUCUCAAUCGCGCUGUUCUCAGGUCAGCUCAAGCCAGUCCCGUGUGUUUGAUGAACUGGAGGCCGUCGCCCCCCGGACAUCCUUCUGUCCGUCCCUGGACCACCCUCUCAGCUCAGCAGACUGCAGCCCACCUGGCACAGAUAUGUCCCCUGGCCUUGCUGCUCUGACAGUAGGUUGUGACAUGGGGGAGCUGGGCUCCCUUUCCCGGGUGCAGCUCCUGCUCUUGGACCGACCGGAACCCAUGAACCCGCGCUUUCUCUCUGGUCAACACCAGCACUCACUGGGAAAGGAUGUAACAAGAGGCCACACUGCCAAGCUCAGCGCCAGCAGACCUGGACCAUGUGCCACAGGCGUCCUACAGCCCGUCACAGCUGCCAGCUGUGGAAACGGCAGUGCUUCGGAGAGGUGUGCUGCCACAGGCGAAGUCCGUGGAGAGCGUGAACUCACGAUGCCAGGAGACCCGGAGGAUGGCCCCAGGUCUCCGUGGUCGUGGACCGGUGACUCCGGUCCAUCCGACAUCAUCUCCAGGUCUCCCUGCUCACCCUGCCAGUACAGCUGUGAUGGGGAGGAGUCGGACAGCCAAACAAGCCAGGCCUCUACUACCCUGAAUGACAGAAACUCAGGCCCCGGCCCUGACCAGGAAGCCUCAGAGAGGGAGGAGCCUGGUUGCACUCUCCGAGGGGAGCGUGUCGGAACUUCCGCGGGUGGGAGGAGGAGACCUGGGAGGACGGAGCGCAGAAUGAGGCAGAAGGAGCGAAUAAGGGAAGAGAGAAAAACAAAGGUGCUGAACAUCUACUCCAAGCUCCAGGACAGAGGUGCCCUCCAGCCGAGCCACAACCGGGGGCGCUCCAAGUUCGAGGACUUCAACUUCUUGGCAAAGUAUUGCAUUUUCAGCCAGGAGAAACUGACAGAAUACAAAAGGGCUUUUGAAGCGGUGGACAGUGACAGAGAUGGUUACAUCUCCUGCUUGCAAGUGCUGUUGGGACUGAAGAAGAUCAUCCCUUCAGAACUGCUGUCUGAUGAGGAAGAGAUCUACGUCUACAGAAUACUCGAAAUGGUGGAUUUCAGGGUGACAGAUGGACUUACAGACCUGCGGCUCUUUGCGGUGAUUGCCAGUCUGGCACAGAAAAUAGCCACCAUGGAUGUGUUCAUGCGUUCCCUUAUAAGCAAAAUGGACUUUCGUUCUUUGGAGUUGAAGCUUUACAAGGCAAAGGUAAUGAAAACAUUUUGUUUGUAUCAUCACAUGCCUGUUAAAUCACCAGCUUUGGUAUUGAUGGUCAAAAUUAAUGUGAUAAUGUUCAUAAUAUUCCUUAACUAUAAAGCUCUUUUUUUAUGCACAGUUUAGCUUUUCGUUUAUUUAGCACCUUCACCCUCAUGUUAGAAUGUUCAUGCUUGCAUCAAGGUCUUUUCCAACAUUUCCUCUUUCAUGGCCCCGGGAGGUUAAUUACAGUGAAAUAAAGUCUUGGUAAACACUUUGAAGGGGAAUUCAAAUGAAAGCUUAGUAAAACUAGCUUUUUCCAGAGGAACCAAGUGCAUGUAUAGAAACCAAGGCAGUGAGAGGUAAAGAGAGAAGGCGAGGGAGCGAGGGAGAAAGUGGUUCUCCUUUUCUCUUUCAUGGAUUAUAGGGCCUUAAUCUCAUUAAAGUGCCCAGCGGUGUACAUCCCACGCCCUUUAAUCCGCCCUGAGACACACUGCUCAUCUCAGAUGGACCCGGGCUAUAGGACGGUCCAUUCACAAGCAGCACGGCAGCCUGCCGCAUAUUCAGGCAGGGGAGGGCAGGCCAGCAAGGCUGGUGAAAGGCCCAUAGGGAACAUGAAAGCAUGUGGCCGUGGGUGUGGAAACUGAGCCAGGCCUAGGUGGACGAGGGCUCUGUAAUUAGAGAGACGGUGGCAGGGAUAGAGUUGUUAACCGGGCUGCAGGGGUUGGAUGGUAGAAAUGGGCUAAUUGCCAAAGGAUUAUUCCCCCUCCCCCAGUGAUUGCCUAGAAUGCAUUUAACUCUACCAACAGGUGCACUUAAACAACACUAGAAACAGACCGAUGUCACCUGAGACUCACACACACACACACCUCUGACUGGACAACACCAGCUUCACAGCGUUGCAUAUUGAAGGGGCCUCUGCUUUUCUAUUCUUUUCCCCCCCCACCCUGUACUGACAUGGUGUUUGUCCCUCUACAGCAGCUGUUCCUGUUCCUGCUGGAGGGGCAGUCAGGAGGCUCUGUAGCCCAGCAAGGCUGUAUCAGCGCAGAGCAGCUCCUGGUGGAGCUGAAGGCCGGGGGCGUCCGACCGGAACAAGAGGAAGCCAUCAAACAGGAGCUCCAACACGUCGGCUCCCUGGACCUGCUGGACUUCCUGGCGUACCUGCCCCUCUUCCUCCUCAUCCACAACUCGGUCAUCACCAACCCACUGGAUGACUCCAGCAACCUGUGAUGUCAUCCUUUACCCAGGGUGGACUCAGUUCUAUUGUAUCCUGCCUCUACACGGUGGUUACAAAGUUACACGCUCACUUGCUGAAGAUCGUCCUCCUUUUUUUUUCCCCCUUCUUAUUUUAGUAGUUGGGAACACUUUUAAUGUUGUUGGGUUUUUUUUGUGUGUCGUCUGAGGCGUUUCUUCAAAAGGGCUUUGGAAACUCCCUUUGGAAUAUGUAUUUAGAAAUGACCUACCCCUGUGCUUUGGGCUACAGAAGGUGGACAUUUAGGCUUGAGAAUGGUGCUGUCUAUGGUACUGAAAUAUGUGGGGCUUUUCAAUUGCAGUUCAUGUUGAACAAGUAAUUCACUGAAUACGGCCAUAACAGGUUUAGACUCUAAUAAGGAUGUGUUGCUAAUUGUCUGCCAAAUGUUAAAAUGCGGCCACAAAUUGAAAAUCAUGCAAAACCUGCUGUUGAUAUGAGCGUCUGAUUUAUGCCAGACCCUUGCACUGUUUAUUCCGACGGGAAUAUGAUGGCUCACAACUUCAGCAUCUUGAUGAUGUGCCAUUAUCAAAAUAAAAAAGGGCAAGUGUAGUCUAACCUAAAUCUCCUAUGUGUUUUCAAUCUCUUAGCUUAAGGUGAGAGCGUCCGGAAAGAAAUUGCUGAUUAGAUAUGGCAGUGUGCUCUUUAUUUUCCAUCACGCUUCACAGAGUCGGUGAGGAAAGCAUUAAUGCACUCUGACAGGCGGUUACGGAAUUGUUCGGACCAUUCAUUGCUUUUUUCGGGUGGCUGUUUCAUACAAAUGCUAUAAUGCCUAAUAAGGGUACCAAAGAGCGCCGCAAAUAUUGCCUGUUUUUUCUUCUUCUUGCAAAUAGCAGAUGUUGUUGCUGGUGUAGUUUCAGUGCCUUAACAACACAGUUGACUUACUCUAACAUUUAAAAUCUCUACACAAGUACAAUUUACAAAUGUUCAAAUGGAUCAUCUAAAUGGCAGUCUACCCAUAUAUCAGUCCAAGCAAGAUAGUAAAAAUCUAAAUCUACUUAACAAGGCAGAAAUAAAUGGAAAGGGACUAGCAUUCAGUACCAGUGUCCACAAUAAACGUGAGACAGUAGCGUGGAGCGAAUGGGUGCAUGCUGGUGGUAGAUUAUGCAUGUGUACAUUGAGUGUGGGUGAUUGAGUUAUUGAGAGAGAGGGUGUGUUAGUUGAGUGUGUGUGAUUGUGAAUGCGAUGACUGCGUGUAAAUGAGCUGGUUGUGUAUGUGGCCCUAGGGUGCAGGUUAGAGUGCAGGGCGGAAAGGUACAAUCCCAUUUCCAAAAGAGUUGGGACGCUGCGUAAAAUGUAAAUAACAACAAAAUGCAAUGAUGUGCAAAUCAUUUCACCCCUAUAUUUAAUAGAAAAGAGUACAAAGACAACAUAUCAAAUGUUGAAACUGAGACAUUUUAUUGUUUCUUGAAAAAUAUAUGCCCACUUUUAAAAAGCUGGGACAGAGGCAACAAAACACUAGAAAAGUUGUGUAAUGCUAAAACUAAACCUGGUGGAAUAUCACACAACUAAUUAAGUUAUUUGGCAACAGGUCAGUAACAUGAUUGACUAUUAAAAGAUCAUUCCAGAGAGGAUGGGUCUGUCAGAAGUGAGGGGUUCACCACUCGGAAAGACUGCGCAGGCAAAUAGUGCAACAAUUAAAAAAUAACCUUUCUCAACGUAGCAUUGCAAAGAGUUUGGGGAUCUCAUCACCUACGGUACAUAAUAAUAUAAAAAGAUUCAGACAACCUGGAGAAAUCUUUGUCUGCAAGGGACAAGGCCAAAAACCAAUUUUGGAUGGUCAUGAUCUUCAGGCCCUCAGGCUGCACUGCAUUAAAAACAAUUCUGUAGUGGAAAUCACUGCAUGGGCUCAGGAACACUUACAAAAUCCAUUGUGUGUGAACACAGUAUGUCGCUGCAUCCACAAAUGCAAGUUAAAACUUCACCAUGCAAAGAAGAAACCAUACAUAAACAACUUCCAGAACCAUUGUUGCUUUCUCUGGGCCCAAACUCAUUUAAGAUGGACUGAGGCAAAGUGGAAAACUCUCCUGUGGUCUGAUGAAUCCAAAUUUGAAAUUACAUUUUUGAAUCAUGGAUGCCGGAAUCAUGGAUGCCUCUGGACUAAAGAGAGGGACCACCCAGCUUAUCAUCAGUGCACAGUUCAAAGCCAGCAACUGUGAUUGUAUGGGGGUGCAUGUGGCAUGGGUGAGUUGCAAUUAUGUGAAGGCACCAUUAAUGCUGAACAAUGUAUGCAGGUUUUGGAGCAACAUAUGCUACCACCCAGAUGAUGUCUUUUUCAGAGGAGGCUUUGCUUAUUUCAGCAAGACAAUGCUAAACCACAUUCUGCACAUAUUACAACAGCAUGGCUCCAUAGUAAAAGGGUCUGGGUGCUAAACUGGCCUGUCUGCAGUCCAGACCCGUCACCCAUUGAAAACAUUUGGCACAUUAUGAAACGAAGAAUAUGACAAAGGAGACCCCGAACUGUUGAGCAGCUGAAAUCCCAUAUCAAGCAAGAAUGGUAAUACAUUGCACUUUUCAAAACUACUGCAAUUUUUCUCCUCAGUUCCCAAACGCUUGCUGAGUAUUGUUAAAAGAGCUGAUGCAACACAGUGGUAAACCUGUUCUGUCCCAACUUUUUUUGAAACAUGUUGCUGGCAUCAAAUUCAAAACAAUAACAUUUCUGUUUAAACAUUUCAUAUGUUUUCUUUGUACUAUUUUCAAUUAAAUAUAGGGAUAAAUGGUUUACACAUCAUUGAAUUUUUUUGCUGCAUUUUAUGCAGCAUCCCAACUGACCAAACUUAACAUUUCUUAUUCUUCUUUCCAUUAAAUGUCAAACAGUAAAAUGUAAGCAAACUUUUAAACUGAAAUUUUUUCUCUAUGGCAAAAUGCAUGUGGCUAUCCAAACCCAGAGCCACUAGGGUACAUCCCAAAUGUUUUAUUUUUGUGCGCCCCACCUUUGGCCUUGAGGCUUUAUUUUUCAACAAGCUCUACUAAAAUGAAUGUAGGCCUACAGAAGCCCUGCCCUGGAAGAUAUUUUUGUGAUUGUAUUUAACCGAAUAAAUCGUUAAUGUAACAUGAGCUAUGCAGUUCAUUUCUGUCAUGGAAUGCUUUAUAGAAUUGUGGUAAAAUCACAGGUUAAUAAGUGCUAAGCAAUAACACUUUCAGAUAGAGAUACCUGGCACUGUUCGAUGACAUUCUCCCUGACAGCUUGCAUGAAACAUGGCUUAACUUGAGCCAAACUGUUUUUUUUUCUUCCCAAGGGCAUUUGUUGAGUGCUUAGUCGCACGCUGCUGUCAGAAGGCACACGCCAUCAGCCAAUUCAAAGCGCUGUUUGCACUCCACCACUAUACAACCUCAUUCACUCAUUAAACUAGGCACGCGCAUCGGAGUAAACGCGUCCCUACCUGUCAAUCCUGAUGCUUCGUGGCCUAAUAGAUUAGAUAGCCAGGCUUAUACCAUAACUAUCCAGACUUUAAUCUCAGAUUUAAUCGAUUUAUAUUUCCAUCGUGUAAAAGUUAAUUUAAAAUAAGGAAAAUGAAGUGAAUGGGCUAGAGCAUAUAUGGUGCCAACUUCUGUAUAUAUAACAAGCAAAUUGCACAUUUUC
ensembl:lncRNA